rnacentral:rRNA from 1 species
GAUGAACGCUGGCGGCGUGCCUAAUACAUGCAAGUCGAGCGAACAGACGAGGAGCUUGCUCCUCUGACGUUAGCGGCGGACGGGUGAGUAACACGUGGAUAACCUACCUAUAAGACUGGGAUAACUUCGGGAAACCGGAGCUAAUACCGGAUAAUAUAUUGAACCGCAUGGUUCAAUAGUGAAAGACGGUUUUGCUGUCACUUAUAGAUGGAUCCGCGCCGCAUUAGCUAGUUGGUAAGGUAACGGCUUACCAAGGCAACGAUGCGUAGCCGGCCUGAGAGGGUGAUCGGCCACACUGGAACUGAGACACGGUCCAGACUCUUACGGGAGGCAGCAGUAGGGAAUCUUCCGCAAUGGGCGAAAGCCUGACGGAGCAACGCCGCGUGAGUGAUGAAGGUCUUCGGAUCGUAAAACUCUGUUAUUAGGGAAGAACAAAUGUGUAAGUAACUAUGCACGUCUUGACGGUACCUAAUCAGAAAGCCACGGCUAACUACGUG